AACCAGCACCUCAAGUGGUCAGGAUGAUUAUUGGGCCUAAAGCAUCCGUAGCCUGUUUUGUCAGUCUUCGGUUAAAUCUAUAUACUCAAGGGAUAGGCUGCCGAAAAUACUGCACAGCUAGGGAAUGGGAGAGGUAGACGGUACUCGGUAGGAAGGGGUAAAAUCCUUUGAUCUAUCGAUGACCACCUGUGGCGAAGGCGGUCUACCAGAACAUGUUCGACGGUGAGGGAUGAAAGCUGGGGGAGCAAACCGG
rnacentral:rRNA from 1 species